rnacentral:rRNA from 1 species
CACGUAGGAGGCGAGCGUUGUCCGGAAUCAUUGGGCGUAAAGAGCGCGCAGGCGGCUUGGCAAGUCGGGUGUGAAAUCCCGGGGCUCAACCCCGUGACUGCAUCCGAUACUGUCAGGCUAGAGGUAGGUAGGGGAGAUCGGAAUUCCUGGUGUAGCGGUGAAAUGCGUAGAUAUCAGGAGGAACACCGAUGGCGAAGGCAGGUCUCCUGGGCCGAUACUGCGUGAGGAGCGAAAGCGUGGGGGAGCGAACAGG